rnacentral:tRNA from 1 species
GGGCCGUUGGCGCAGUGGUAGCGCGCCUCGAUGGCAUCGAGGAGGCCGCGGGUUCGAUCCCCGCACGGUCCACAA